ensembl:lncRNA
CACCGGGGGCUGCCUUGGGGACACUUGGGGACACCCCUUGGCACAGCUCGGCCUCAAUGGUGCCAGAUCCAUGGGGAACGAGGGACCUGGGGCCACCUUGGCGUCACCAGGAGGGAACUUGGUGCCACCAUGGAGAACCUCGGUGCCACCAUGGCUCACUUGGAGACACUUGGGGACACUCUGGGGACACCUGGGGACACCCCUUGGCACAGCUCAGCCUUGAUGGCGCCAGAUCCAUGGGGAACGAGGGGCUCGGGGCCACCUUGGCGUCGCCAGAGGGGACCAUGGUGCCACCAUGGAGAACCUUGAGGCCACCACAGCCGGCUUGGGGCAACUUGGGGACGCUCUGGGGACACUUGGGGACACUUGGGGACACCCCUUGGCACAGCUCGGCCUCCAUGGUGCCAGAUCCAUGGGGGACGAGGGGCUCAGGGCCACCUUGGGGCCACCAGGAGGGAACCUGGUGCCACCACGGAGAACCUUGGUGCCACCACGGCUCACUUGGGGCCACCAGGGCUGGCUUGGGGCAACUUGGGGACACCAGGAGACACUCUGGGGACACUUGGGGACACUCCCUGGCAUGGCUCAGCCUUGAUGGCGCCAGAUCCAUGGGGAACGAGGGGCUCGGGGCCACCUUGGCGUCACCAGGAGGGAACUUGGAGCCACCAUGGCUGGCUUGGGGCCACCAGGGUUGGCUUGGGGCAACUUGGGGACACUCUGGGGACACUUGGGGACACUCCCUGGCAUGGCUCAGCUUUGAUGGUGCCAGAUCCAUGGGGAACGAGGAGCUCGGGGCCACCUUGGCGUCACCAGGAGGGAACUUGGUGCCACCAUGGAGAACCUUGAGGCCACCAUGGCUCCCUUGGGGCAACUUGGGGACGCUCCGGGGAUGCCAGGGGACACCCGGGGACACUCACUGGCGCAGCUCGGCCUUGACGGGGCUGGAGACGCGGGGGUAGCAGACGCUGAAGAGGCCGCAGGCGGAGGUGCGCGAGGUGAACCAGUCGCCGCCCGCCAGGCGCUUCACCAGCGGCACGAAGUGGCCCUCGAGGUCGGCGGGCGAGUGCUCGUGCGACACGGCCCGCAGCGACUCCACCGCCUUGUCCCGCACCACCGUCUCCUCCACCGUCGCCAGGCUCUCCAGCGGCGGCUGCGGCGGCAGGCGGGAAAACGUCACCCGCAAACACCCGGAACGACCUCAAAACCGCCCCGGGGCACUGGGAUACCCCGACAGCUCCCUGGAGGGACCCAAAGUGCAGCUAAAGUGCCCCAAAACCCNNN